UUUAGUUAAGUAUCUUGCAGUGAAAAUGUCCCAACAAGAAGAGGAAGCAUCAUGAAGAGGCUAGCAGGCACUGUGCUGGGGCUUUUGUUUGCCCAGGUUUGCUGUGUGCGAGGGGUGGAUGUGGAGCAGAGUCCCCCAGCCCUGAGUCUCCAGGAGGGAGCCAGCUACACGCUUCAAUGUAAUUUUUCCAGUUCCUCAAGGAGUGUGAAUUGGUAUCUUCAGAACUCUGGGGGCCACCUCAUACAGCUGUUUUACAUUCCUUCAGGGACAAAGCAGGAUGGAAGAUUAAUGGCUACCACAGUCCCUAAAGAACGCCACAGCUCACUGCACAUUUCCUCUUCGCAGACCACAGACUCAGGCACUUACUUCUGUGCUGUGCAGCACAGUGCUCCCCAGGCACCUGCAGCCUGUAUUCAAACCUGCAGCCAAGGCUCCAGCCACACCUUGCUAUGUAGAUGGAACACAUACAAACAAACACACACACAUCAGUGCGUGCAUAACAAGUCUUAAUAUAUUUAAUAAAACUGAAAUUAUACAGAAUUUAUUCUUUGACCAAGAUGGAAAUGAUAUAGAAAAUCAAGUGCAAAGAGAUGUCUCUAGAAACUCCAAAAUAUUUGCAUUAUAUGCACUAACUUUAAAAUAACUCUAGUUUAAAGAAACAAUUACCAUGGCUAUUAGAAAAUAUUUUGAAAGUAAAUAUUGUGAGAGCACAUUAUAUAAAUAUGUAUGAGAUGGAGCUCAAAUA